CCACUCACGCUCGACCGGACGCCUCACUCGCCUCUACCCGCACGGCGGCACGGUCCACUCGGCUUCUUGCACGAGCACAUGUUGUGCUCGCCCGCAGGCAUCGCCGUCGUUCCUCCCCACGUGCAGAGCCACCGCCGGCGCCGCUCCAGCGAGUAGAGCCACCACCGCCGCUCCUGCCGGCACGUCCGGCGCUCGCUAUCCACAGCCCCGUGUCCUUUCCCGACGUGCCCAUCCGUCUCGACCUCCCGGCGGCUGGCCCAUCUGCGUCGGCCGCAGGCGGCGGUCCAUGACCCUGCUCCAUCCUCUGCCGCGGUGACAUCGCUGCUUGCCGGACCUCGCACGCGAGGCACAUCCGUCUCGGUCUCCCCGUGUGCGGACAGAAUCGACGUGCUUCUCCAUGAUGUGUUCGAUUCAGCCCAUGAAUCUUCUCAACGAGCCUCAGCUUAUACUUGGGUUCUCAAGGCGUCCAGGAGCAGGGUAGCUGAUGUCCAGGACUCCAAGUCCAGGCAGUCUUGGAAUCAUCUGUUGGAGAUGCUUGGUGUAUAAUACAAGUAAUGGAUACUUCUACUGACUGGUCUAAUCCAAUUAUUGGUCAGAUGAAUUUUAAAUUCAUAACUUUGCCAUGCUACAGAAUGAAUAUGGAAGUUUAGAUGUUUUUGUAAAUACAGAAGCCUCUCUGUCUACUGCAAAAUAUUCCAUCUGUCAAUAACAUGGAAGCUUCCCUGUCCUGGAGUUCCUCUUCCAACUAGACGAAGAAGAGGUUGAGUGGAUCCAGCACUCGACUGUGGCAAGGAUUGGGGAGAGACUACUGCCAAUUUUGCAUGUCUGUUCACAGGAGAGCUGUUGACUGAACUGAAUUUUGCCGGGGCUAGACUCAAUGAACUGCUCAUUAGUUCCUAUGGCUGGGCAAUUUUACCCACAUCCUAAGAUCCGUGCACCAGUAACAGGUGACUGUUGGCCAGGAGGCUUAUUUUGCCUACUUGAGAUGAGCAAAUAGUGUCUAGACAGCGGGCGGCAAUGCCAUCAGUUGGUGGCACCAGUGUGCGCCGAGCACAAGGCGUCUCCGGAUGCCCGCAGACAUCAAGAAUUCUACGAGCUCAGUGGUGUUGGAGGCGACAAUGAUUGCUGGUGAUGCUUGCGGCAAGGUGCAGGCCGCAAGCGCACAAUCGUCGGAGGCCUCAUUCAUGCUUUGUGCGGUCUACCUCGAGGAGGUGCGGGGCUAGGCUAUGUUGGCAGAGGCAGAGGUGAUUACAACGUCAUGCUCAUAUGCAUACCACCCUGGAUGCGUUCCCUUAUGGCUUGUCGUGCACCGCGCCUGCCCCUGCUACAAGGUGGAUCGUCCUGUCACAUAAAAAUGGACCUAAGGUCUGGAGCUCGAUUGGAGCAAAAGUUUCCCAUUGAUGAACUCAACAGUCUGGUCUUCGCUGCCAUCUCGAAUCGAAGUGGGCAAAAAGCAGAGGAUCUUUUGUUGCGAACUGGAUAUGCUCGUGUGUUUUUUUGACCUGGGAUUUUCAUUACUUAUGUUCUGACAAAUCGACAGCAAUCAUUACAGCAGCGUGACCAGGAAGAGUUCGAAAUGAUCUCAUUUCCUUCACCACAGUUAUACCCCAAGUUAGCGAACUCGAGCGCUUAUUGUAUUACAUUCUUUUACCCUGGAACAUACAUAUGUACAUAUGUAUAUUGCUGUGACACUAUAUUUAGAUAACAGUGCAACACUUGCUCACACUUAUAAUAUCGUGACAUUGUAUUUCCCGUUGCAUCGCACGGGCA